UCUCAUUAGCUCAAAUAACAUCAAUUCAAUUAAUUAUUCCCUCUUUCAUCAUUCUACACUUCAGGUAUGAACUUGCUAUUUCAUUACCUUUCCACACCCGUUUUAUAUGCAUAACUCACAAGACAAAAGUGCAUCAUUCAAUCAUAGCCACAAGCUAGUGCAUUUAAAUAUAAUUCUUUUUGGAACUAACCACAUGGUAAAC
rnacentral:lncRNA from 1 species